UUAUCACAACCGUUACAUAGCUUUAUUGUUAUCGAUAACGAACGAUGACUAUUUAAAAAGCGGUCAUGCGCAAUUCAGAUAAUAAAAUAAUUUUCACAAAGUAUAGCAGCAAAAAAGAACACCGACAAAGUACCACAUUUUUGUAUUCCACAAUCAGAAAGACUAAUUCUUAAAAAAAAUGCCUUGCAAAGGAUGUGAAAAAGACUGCAAAUGCACUACAGCAAAGUGCGAUGAACGCUGCAAAUGUGCCAAGGAUAAUAAAUGUAAUUGUAUGAAUGGUGACAAGGAGGCAGCAGCUACUGGAAAAUCUUGCUGUAGCAAGCAAACUAAAAGUGACUAAGUUAAUGGUGAAUUGGAGAAAUUUUUACAUCUAUCAUCUUUAUAGAAAAUAUUGAAAAAUAAAUGUGAAUUAAAAAGGUGA